UGGGGAAUAUUGCACAAUGGGCGAAAGCCUGAUGCAGCAACGCCGCGUGAGUGAUGAAGGCCUUCGGGUUGUAAAGCUCUGUCUUUUGGGACGAUAAUGACGGUACCAAAGGAGGAAGCCACGGCUAACUACGUGCCAGCAGCCGCGGUAAUACGUAGGUGGCAAGCGUUGUCCGGAUUUACUGGGCGUAAAGGAUGCGUAGGCGGAUUUUUAAGUGAGAUGUGAAAACCCUAAGCUUAACUUGGGGACUGCAUUUCAUACUGGAAAUCUAGAGUGCGGGAGAGGAGAAUGGAAUUCUUAGUGUAGCGGUGAAAUGCGUAGAGAUUAGGAAGAACACCAGUGGCGAAGGCGAUUCUCUGGACCGUAACUGACGCUGAGGCAUGAAAGCGUGGGUAGCAAACAGGAUUAGAUACCCUGGUAGUCCACGCCGUAAACGAUGAGUACUAGGUGUAGGAGGUAUCGACCCCUUCUGUGCCGCAGUUAACACAAUAAGUACUCCGCCUGGGAAGUACGAUCGCAAGAUUAAAAACUCAAAUGAAUUGAC
rnacentral:rRNA from 1 species